rnacentral:lncRNA from 1 species
CACAUGCACUGUAUUUUUAUGGGUUUAAAGAGCGCGUGAGAAACAUAAAAACAACAAAUUUAAAGUUUUGCUGAUGAUGUAGCGUAGAGUGUGGGUGUGUAAAGAAAAAUGAUGAGUGAAUGACAUUCUCAGUUUGUGCAUUGUUGUGGAAGUUAACAGGUGUUAUCAUUGAAAAGUGUGAGUAAAUUGAACAGAAAUGUGGGAGAGUGAGAAAUGUUCUGUGAAUUAUGGUUUUAAUAAUUAAUUUAAGGAAGUUUGCGUUACGCGUAAUAAAUUCGGAUAGUGUUUCAAAAAUAAUAAUAUGUGUAACUUUAUAUCGGUCUCGUAAUAAUCUAUUCUCAAUAUUUUCAUCACAAAAGUCCCGUUUAUGUUUUGUGCGCUUUGCGUGAUGUAGUGUUCUUGCAAAAAUAAAUAUGUAUGCAUGUGAUAAAGUGGUGAAAAAGUGUGUGGAAAAAAGUGCAAAUUGUAUUAAAUUUCCUGUGUUUGGUAGAUGAAAAUCAAAUUUUGUUUUAACGCAGCCGGAAUGUGAAAAGUGAUUAGGAGGAAUAUUUAAAGAGAAAAAUUUCCUGCAUUAUUUAAGGAAAAUUUGGUAUAUGAAUAGAGACUGGAGGCGGAAGUGUCAGGAAGCGCGCUACAUGGACACUUGAGCUGCCACAAUCACAAGCCCAAAAGGUUUGCUAUGGGAAAGGUUCACUAAUUAACAAAACAGCUCGAAGACAGCAACGCGCUUUAGGUGCUCACAUAUUAGUAUGUCUGUAUGUAAAUAUGAAUGGCCCACCACAUACACCACAUCUCUUAAGUCUGUCAACCAGAAGAAAUAUAUCAAACAAGAUUCACUCAAUUUACAACAUUUUUAUUUUAUUUG